rnacentral:rRNA from 1 species
CCCAAAAGGUAACGGAGGCGCUCAAAGGUUCUCUCAGUACGGUCGGAAAUCGUACGUAGAGUGUAAAGGCAAAAGAGAGCUUGAUUGCAAGACAUACAGGUCGAGCAAGGAUGAAAAUCGGACUUAGUGAUCCGGUGGUUCUGCGUGGAAGGGCCAUCGCUCAACGGAUAAAAGCUACCCUGGGGAUAACAGGCUUAUCUCCCCCAAGAGUCCACAUCGACGGGGAGGUUUGGCACCUCGAUGUCGGCUCAUCACAUCCUGGGGCUGUAGUAGGUCCCAAGGGUUGGGCUGUUCGCCCAUUAAAGUGGUACGCGAGCUGGGUUCAGAACGUCGUGAGACAGUUCGGUCCCUAUCCGUCGCAGGCGUAGGAAAUUUGAGAAGACCUGUCCUUAGUACGAGAGGACCGGGAUGGACGUAUCUCUGGUGUACCAGUUGUCCUGCCAAGGGCAUGGCUGGGUAGCUAUGUACGGAAUGGAUAAGCGCUGAAAGCAUCUAAGCGCGAAGCCAACUUCAAGAUAAGAUUUCCCACCGCAAGGGUAAGACCCCAGAAAGACUAUCUGGUUGAUAGGUCGAAGGUGUAAGUGCAGCAAUGUAUUUAGCUUAUCGAUACUAAUAGGUCGAGGACUUGACCAAU